GAGACCCCGCGUGGAGACCUGGGACGUGCGUGGUCCGCAGCGGGCGUAGCUCCGCAGACACCUGCUGGCCUCUGGGCUGGGAGAAGAGGAGCAAGGGUGUGGUGUGUGUGAGAAGACUGAGCCGGCGCUCCCGCUCAGCCUUUGCUGCGUUCUGCAACCUGAGGGAGACGUGGGUUUCUCAACUGCACCCUGGGGCAGGCCAGUGGCCAGCGGACAUCUGGACAGGAUUUAGCUAACAACAAUAGACCACCAAGACAAACAGCACCAGUCUGAUCAACUGCUGGCUACUUGAGUAGCCAAUGAACAGCCCAGAUUGUGCCAGGCCUAAAGCUGUUUCAAACCCUCUGCGGGAUCUCCAUUGCUUUGAUGCCAGCGGACAACUCCUGAUCCAGCAACCUUCACAGCAACCUGGUCCCUGUAUGGUCUGGGUUCACCCCACUGUUCUCCCUGACACUUGUUCCAGCCACACAGCUUCUGAUAUUCUGAGAAGCUGCCAUGCUCUUUUGUAUCUUCUUUCCACUUGUUCCUCCCUCAGUCUAGAAUGCCUUUCUUCUUCCCCAGAUCCCGCCUCAAGAUUCACCUCAAAUGAUUCUUCACGUGUGAUGCCUUUCCUCAUGUUUCUCCCUCCUCUCUUGGUGAGGAUCAAAACACUUGCCUCAUUUGUUGAAUUCGAUUCCUACUUUGAUUGA
ensembl:lincRNA